AGAGUUUGAUCCUGGCUCAGAUUGAACGCUGGCGGCAUGCCUUACACAUGCAAGUCGAGCGGCAGCGCGGGGGCAACCCUGGCGGCGAGCGGCGAACGGGUGAGUAAUACAUCGGAACGUGUCCUUUCGUGGGGGAUAACCAGUCGAAAGAUUGGCUAAUACCGCAUGAGAUCUCACGAUGAAAGCGAGGGACCGCAAGGCCUCGCGCGAUUGGAGCGGCCGAUGUCGGAUUAGCUAGUUGGCGGGGUAAAAGCCCACCAAGGCGACGAUCCGUAGCUGGUUUGAGAGAACGACCAGCCACACUGGGACUGAGACACGGCCCAGACUCCUACGGGAGGCAGCAGUGGGGAAUUUUGGACAAUGGGCGCAAGCCUGAUCCAGCCAUGCCGCGUGUGUGAAGAAGGCCUUCGGGUUGUAAAGCACUUUCGGCCGGAACGAAAUCGCGCGGGUUAAUAGUCCGCGUGGAUGACGGUACCGGAAGAAGAAGCACCGGCUAACUACGUGCCAGCAGCCGCGGUAAUAC
rnacentral:rRNA from 1 species